rnacentral:rRNA from 1 species
GUGCCAGCAGCCGCGGUAAUACGUAGGUGGCAAGCGUUGUCCGGAAUUAUUGGGCGUAAAGGGCUCGCAGGCGGUUUUUUAAGUCUGAUGUGAAAUCUUGUGGCUUAACCACAAGCGGUCAUUGGAAACUGGAGAACUUGAGUACAGAAGAGGAGAGUGGAAUUCCACGUGUAGCGGUGAAAUGCGUAGAGAUGUGGAGGAACACCAGUGGCGAAGGCGACUCUCUGGUCUGUAACUGACGCUGAGGAGCGAAAGCGUGGGGAGCAAACAGGAUUAGAUACCCUCGUAGUCC